AGUUUGCAUACAUUUGAGAAUAUUCUAAAAAUGCACUGGGUUUGGUCAAGACACACAGGUGGUCAGUAUACAUAAGUGAAGUGGAGAGUAUCUGAACUGGUUAGGUGCUGGAGGCAAGGAUUUAUACCUAGGAUGUUCUGCCAUUGCCAGGUAAUGACAUCAGCAUAUGAAGAAAGGCCUUAUUCUAAUAUGAUAUUUACUGUAUCAAAGCAGUUGAUAGAAGUAAUGUCUUUCUCGUUUUGCUACUUUAAUGUGGAAGAUUUGCAUGUCAGGCUCUCUGUUAGACCCUAAGCUUCUAAAAGUCCAAGUGAGGCCUUACAGGGUGCUUGCCAAUUAAGAAGUUAAGAUCAGACAGAUCUGGUUUCAAAUAUAAGCUCUGACUCUUCUUAAUUUGAGACAUGCUGUUUGAACUCUUUUAGCCUCAAUCUGUAAAAUGGAGAUGGUAAUAGCCUCUAAAUCAGGGUUGCUGUGAAGAUUAAAUGAAAACAUCUGUAAAGCCUGAAACACAGUUAAUACUCAAUAAAUGCAGCCCUUAUUGUUUUCAGCACAUUGAAUUGUUCAUGAUAAUUUAUUUGCCUAGCUCCCUAAUUAGAUUAAACAUUUGAAGGCAGAGGUCAUGUCCUAUACCAUCUCCCAUUUCAUUCUAUAUUUUCCCCAGUAGACUAAUGUUUCUUAGUGUGGUAGUCUAGACCACUGAGAUUCUUCAGCUUAUCCAAAAAGAGAACCCCUUUGCCCUGCCUAGAUUCUGAACAAUGUCAAAAAUAAAACAAUAAAAUUGAAGGCCAAAAUAUUACCAGUGCUACUGAUAAAGCUAAGUACAAAAAUGACCUUGCGGAAGAGCCAAAGUCACCUUCAAAGACAACUCCUGAACUGGAAAAGUUUACCUACCCAAUGUCAGGCAGCACUGGACUAGGGCUGUGGGGAGGCCUGACCAAGUCAGAUAAGAGCACAAGGCCAGUUCAGGCUGCCCUCGGGCAGUCUCAUUUCCAACCCCGGCCAAGAAAGCUGUGCUAGAGGUGGCCUAGAUUUCCAGAGUUUGGGGGCACAAUGUGAGGCCAGAUAUAGAUCCUGUAGAAGACAACUGAACUUGAUUGUUUUAAAGGAUUUCCUAUCAAGAGCACCAUCUGAAGUGGACACAAUUGGAGAAACUGGUUAUUUUACCAAGGCUUUGACUGGAAUGGUGCACUUUCCUUUAAGGAUCAAACAUGACUUAUGGAGCCAAUUAAAUCCCCUUGGGAAAACUGGCCUCAUUGCUUGUCUACACAGUUCCUGUCCAGGGUUCCUGACUUACGGAUGUGAGACUUCACAACCUGCUAAAAAUGAACUUUCCUAAUAACUCGGGACCUACCCAUCUAGGAAUAAACCAUCCUAUUCAUGACAGUGCCUGUGAAAGAUAAAGGAGAAAGAAUCAGGGUUGGAGAACUGGAAAAGUCUUGGCCAACCAAAUAGGCAACCCUGCAGCAAAGAUUGCCCAUUAGAAGAGUCAAAUGCUAGGAAGAAAUUGCAAACCCUACUAUUCUCACUGUGCUCAAACUUCGACUAGGAACUUCCACAAAGAGUGUGGCCUUGGCUUGAACAUUGCAGCAGCAGAUUAUGUAGGUGCUGAACUUGGAGUUUUGCACUUCUCACAGCUGACAGCAAAUUCUUUCUUCAAGGGAGACCUGAGCAGUCCUCCAUAUCUGCCAAAUUACUGCAUAGGAACAAAAAGGAGCCCUCCAUUCAUCUAAGAAGCAAAAUGAACUAGCAGAGAGAGCUUUGGCAUCAGGCAAAUCUGAUUGUAAAUACUUCUAGCAUAUAGUUGCUCUUACAUUGAGUUGGAUUGCUGGAUCAGGAAAUAUUAAUAUUUUAAAGACAUUUAUUACCAAACCAGUAUCAAAAAUAUCACUUUGGUUGACCAUGAUACCAGCAAUGGAUACAUGUAUAUGUUUCCCUGAAAUGCUAUGAAUACUGUUUUUCUGAGGCAUGAAGAGUGAUAAAAUAGUAUCACAGUUCCAGCAAUCACACCUACCAUCAAAGCAGGAAAAGAAGAAAAGCAUAAAGCAAGAGGUUUCACUUGAAUUUUGUCAAGAAAACAAAGACUCGUCCAAAAUUUUCUUUACAUCCUGUUGGUCAAAAAUAGUUUGAACUGGCAGCUCUAACUGCACGAAAGGUUGGAAGUAGUUUAAGAGUGACCACAAUUGAGAAAAAGAACAAGGAACUGGGCAAAGUUCAGAGAUGAGCAAAAGCACUAGUUUUCAUGAAGAGUUACACACAGAAUUAAUUAUGGCCUUUUAUGAAUCAAUAAUAUGCUUGCCUAUGUUCAAUCAGGAUCACAUGAUGACUGUGCUACCUCCAUCCGUCACAUCUUUAUUCAAUCAGGAAAAGAGAGAAGAGAGGUCAUAGCAACCAUGUCUAUCCAUCUUAGUAACAAUUUAGUUUUCUGGCCUGGCGCGGUGGCUCAGGCCUGUAAUCCCAGAACUUUGGGAGGCCGAGGCGGGUGGAUCACCUGAGAUCAGGAGUUCGAGACCAGCCUGAUCAACAUGGUGAAACCCCUGUCUCUACUAAAAAUACAAAAAUUAGCCAGGCAUGGUGGCGCAUGCCUGUAAUCCCAGCUACUUGGGAGGCUGAGGUAGGAAAUCACUUGAACCCAGGAGGCAGAGGUUGCAGUGAGCUGAGACUGUGACACUGCACUCCAGCGGGGGCAAAAAGAGCAAAACUUCAUCUCAAAAAAAGAAUUUAGUUUUCUGGAGGCUACUCUCACAGACUUAUGCUUAGCAUCUGUUAUAAGGUGAAUUGUGUCCUCUUAAAAGUAACAGGUUAAAACCCUAACCCCCAGUACCUCAGAAUGUAACUCUAUUUGAAGAUAGAGGCAAUAAAGAGGUAAUUAUGGUUAAAUAAAGUCAUCUGGGUGGGCCUUCAUUCAAUCUGAGCUGUAUUCUUUAAAAAGAGGGAAAUUUGGACACGUACACAAGACACCAGAGAUAUUCACACACAGAGGAAAGACUAUGAGGGGAUGCAGGUAGAAGGCAGCCUUCUGCAAGUUAAGGAGAGAGACUUCAA
rnacentral:lncRNA from 1 species